rnacentral:misc_RNA from 1 species
UACGGAGGGUGCAAGCGUUAAUCGGAAUAACUGGGCGUAAAGGGCACGCAGGCGGUUUGUUAAGUUGGAUGUGAAAUCCCCGGGCUUAACCUGGGAACUGCAUUCAAGACUGGCAGGCUAGAGUCUCGUAGAGGGGGGUAGAAUUCCACGUGUAGCGGUGAAAUGCGUAGAGAUGUGGAGGAAUACCGGUGGCGAAGGCGGCCCCCUGGACGAGGACUGACGCUCAGGUGCGAAAGCGUGGGGAGCAAACAGG